AGCGAACGCUGGCGGCAGGCCUAACACAUGCAAGUCGAGCGCCCAGCAAUCGGAGCGGCAGACGGGUGAGUAACACGUGGGGCUGUGCCCAAAGGUACGGAAUAGCUCCGGGAAACUGGAAUUAAUACCGUAUGUGCCCUUCGGGGGAAAGAUUUAUCGCCUUUGGAUCAACCCGCGUCUGAUUAGCUAGUUGGUGAGGUAAAGGCUCACUAAGGCGACGAUCAGUAGCUGGUCUGAGAGAAUGAUCAGCCACACUGGGACUGAGACACGGCCCAGACUCCUACGGGAGGCAGCAGUGGGGAAUAUUGGACAAUGGGCGCAAGCCUGAUCCAGCCAUGCCGCGUGAGUGAUGAAGGCCUUAGGGUUGUAAAGCUCUUUCGCCGGUGAAGAUAAUGACGGUAACCGGAGAAGAAGCCCCGGCUAACUUCGUGCCAGCCGCCGCCGUAA
rnacentral:rRNA from 1 species